ensembl:lncRNA
GAUGCUGUUUGUCUCUGUAGGACAGUAGUUCAUGUGGCUGUUUGUCUUUGUAGGACAGUAGUUCAGGUGGCUGUUUGUCUUUGUAGGACAGUAGUUCAGGUGGCUGUUUGUCUUUGUAGGACAGUAGUUCAGGUGGCUGUUUGUGUAGAUGCUGUUUGUCUCUGUAGGACAGUAGUUCAGGUUGGUGUUUGUCUCUGUAGGACAGUAAAUCAGGUUGGUGUUUGUCUCUGUAGGACAGUAGUUCAGGUGGCUGUUUGUGUAGAUGCUGUUUGUCUUUGUAGGACAGUAGUUCAGGUGGCUGUUUGUCUUUGUUUGUGUUUGUGUAGAUGCUGUUUGUCUUUGUAGGACAGUAGUUCAGGUGGCUGUUUGUCUUUGUAGGACAGUAGUUCAGGUGGCUGUUUGUCUCUGUAGGACAGUAGUUCAGGUGGCUGUUUGUCUCUGUAGGACAGUAGUUCAGGUGGCUGUUUGUCUUUGUAGGACAGUAGUUCAGGUGGCUGUUUGUCUUUGUAGGACAGUAGUUCAGGUGGCUGUUUGUCUUUGUAGGACAGUAGUUCAGGUGGCUGUUUGUCUUUGUAGGACAGUAGUUCAGGUGGCUGUUUGUCUUUGUAGGACAGUAGUUCAGGUGGCUGUUUGUCUUUGUAGGACAGUAGUUCAGGUGGCUGUUUGUGUAGAUGCUCUUUGUCUUUGUAGGACAGUAGUUCAGGUGGCUGUUUGUGUAGAUGCUGUUUGUCUUUGUAGGACAGUAGUUCAGGUGGCUGCCCUUGCACUUAGUCUGCCUCCUGCCCCCCCAUCGUCAUGGUUACACCUUCCUGAAAACAAUGACUCCAUACUUUGCUGAAACCUGUUC